rnacentral:rRNA from 1 species
GAUGAACGCUGGCGGCGUGCCUAAUACAUGCAAGUCGAGCGAACAGACGAGGAGCUUGCUCCUCUGACGUUAGCGGCGGACGGGUGAGUAAUACGUGGAUAACCUACCUAUAAGACUGGGAUAACUUCGGGAAACCGGAGCUAAUACCGGAUAAUAUAUUGAACCGCAUGGUUCAAUAGUGAAAGACGGUUUUGCUGUCACUUAUAGAUGGAUCCGCGCCGCAUUAGCUAGUUGGUAAGGUAACGGCUUACCAAGGCAACGAUGCGUAGCCGACCUGAGAGGGUGAUCGGCCACACUGGAACUGAGACACGGUCCAGACUCCUACGGGAGGCAGCAGUAGGGAAUCUUCCGCAAUGGGCGAAAGCCUGACGGAGCAACGCGGCGUGAGUGAUGAAGGUCUUCGGAUCGUAAAACUCUGUUAUUAGGGAAGAACAAAUGUGUAAGUAACUAUGCACGUCUUGACGGUACCUAAUCAGAAAGCCACGGCUAACUACGUG